ensembl:misc_RNA Metazoa_SRP Metazoan signal recognition particle RNA
GCCGGGCGUGGUGGCUCAAGCCUGUAAUCCCAGCACUUUGGGAGGCUGAGGCGGGUGGAUCACCUGAGGUCAGGAGUUCGAGAUCAGCCUGGCCAACAAGGUGAAACCCCGUCUCUA